GAAUUAGAUUUCUGCCAUUUUCAAGAAAGUAGUCAAAGCUGGGUGAGAGGCAAGAGUCUGAGGUAUUUAAAGAAGCAAUUACAACUAAGAUGAUUGUCAGGAAUUGAGAGGGAACAAGUCAUUUACGAAGGUUGGUGAGGUGAGAUCAUGGAUGGAUGUGACACCAGGAGAUAAAAGCAUCUGAGAGAUUGGAAGGAUCACAGCUUUUGUCUAGUGGAAACUAGGAUCUCUUGAGCAGCCUGAGUUAUCUUGAUCGGCAUACGAGUUGAUAGCAAUGAUGACCCAGGAUUCGAGCAGGAAUGUGUGGAUUUUGGCUUGGGACUUCAUAGACUAUCUGCAGGAGGUUCUCUGACCUUUGAGGCUCCUCUGUCGUGUUGCUGGAGGUUGGCAGGGGUCGUGUGAUGCAGCGGUAUCAAUAAUGGAAGAAAGGAGCCCCCUCCCUGCUGCAAGGCUGGUAUAUGGGUCAGGCAACGCUCUCUGUGGACACAGGGAGAUUGAUGAGGAUCGCCAGGGAGAGUGCCUGAGCUCCAGCCCCUGCACCGUGAGCUCACAGUCGGGAUCCCCAUGCUCACUUUCCCCUGGCUCCCCUCCAGCACUGCACAACCUGGUGCUCUUUAAAUGACCUUCAUGUUCUCCUUGUAUUGCAUGUUCUCCAAAAGUGAAAAAAAAAAAUUAUUGUGCUAGACUCAGGAUAUGUAGACAUAAGUAAUAAAUUCAAGAAAAAUGGGCAUUGAA